rnacentral:rRNA from 1 species
GUUCUAGUUCAUUUACUUUGAGAAAAUUAGAGUGUUUAAAGCAGCCUCUUGGGGCACUGAAUACAUUAGCAUGGGAUAAUAAAAUAGGAUCUUCACAAUAUAUUUUAUUGGUUUAAAUUGCGUAUGAAGAUAAUGAUUAAUAGGGACAGUUGGGGGUAUUCAUAUUGGGUGGUUAGCGGUGAAAUGCUCGGAUCCAUUCAAGAUGAACUAAAGCGAAAGCAUUUACCAAGGAUGUUUUCAUUAAUCAAGAACGAAAGUUAAGGGAUCGAAGACGAUUAGAUACCGUCGUAGUCUUAACUAUAAACUAUGCCGACCAGGGAUAUGAGUUGUUAGGAAUAUAUGAAAAUAUAUUCAAUUUCUUCUUAUGAACCUUGUGAGAAAUCAUAAGUUUUUGGGUUCUGGGGGGAGUAUGGUCGCAAGGCUGAAACUUAAAGGAAUUGACGGAGGGG